rnacentral:rRNA from 1 species
GAUGAACGCUAGCGACAGGCCUAACACAUGCAAGUCGAGGGGCAGCACAAGGAGCAAUCUGAGGUGGCGACCGGCGCACGGGUGAGUAACACGUAUGCAACCUACCUGUAAGAGGGGAAUAACCCGUUGAAAAACGGACUAAUACCGCAUAACACUGUAGAACCGCAUGGUUUGACAGUUAAACAUUUAUGGCUUACAGAUGGGCAUGCGCAUGAUUAGCUAGCUGGUGAGGUAACGGCUCACCAAGGCAACGAUCAUUAGGGGUUCUGAGAGGAAGGUCCCCCACACUGGUACUGAGACACGGACCAGACUCCUACGGGAGGCAGCAGUGAGGAAUAUUGGUCAAUGGGCGCAAGCCUGAUCCAGCCAUGCCGCGUGAGUGAAGAAGGCCCUCGGGUUGUAAAGCUCUUUUGUCCGGAAAGAAAAGCGCCGGGUUAAUACCCUGGUGUCCUGACGGUACCGGAAGAAUAAGCACCGGCUAACUUCGUGCCAGCAGCCG